rnacentral:rRNA from 1 species
UACGAAGGGGGCUAGCGUUGUUCGGAUUUACUGGGCGUAAAGCGCACGUAGGCGGAUCGUUAAGUGAGGGGUGAAAUCCCAGGGCUCAACCCUGGAACUGCCUUUGAUACUGGCGAUCUUGAGUCCGGGAGAGGUGAGUGGAACUGCGAGUGUAGAGGUGAAAUUCGUAGAUAUUCGCAAGAACACCAGUGGCGAAGGCGGCUCACUGGCCCGGUACUGACGCUGAGGUGCGAAAGCGUGGGGAGCAAACAGG